rnacentral:rRNA from 1 species
AACGUAGGGGGCGAGCGUUGCCCGGAUUCACUGGGCGUAAAGCGCGUGUAGGCGGUCCGUUAAGUCGGGUGUGAAAUCUCCGAGCUCAACUCGGAAAGUGCACCCGAUACUGGCGGACUUGAGGACGGUAGAGGUCGGUGGAAUGACCAGUGUACCGGUGAAAUGGACAGAUAUUGGUCGGAACACCAGUGGCGAAGGCGGCCGACUGGGCCGUUCCUGACGCUGAGACGCGAAAGCCAGGGGAGCGAACCGG